rnacentral:misc_RNA from 1 species
UCCUGCGUAGGUUGCCUAAAGUGACAGAAAUUGACCACAAAUAAAUUUUAAUUUUUGCCUCUCACCAAUUCGUGGUGUUAGGUUGACGUGAAAGUACUGCCCAUUCUCCUUGAUUGCUUCGCCAUUUUGUGUUGCAAUCGUGGCCCAUGGGUUGCUACUAGUUCUCUCGGAUGCAGAACUUUUAAAGGGUGCACAACAUGUUGCUGUUGUUUACUCACAAAGCGUUCAUGGCUUGAUGCGUACGACAGCUGUGCUCGCCGUGGUCCCGUCUUUAACUAGUUUGGGACGGGCCUCAUGCGGUGCCGGCGUCGCGAAGAAAUGCUACCUGGUUGAUCCUAUCAGUAGUCAUAUGCUCAA